rnacentral:rRNA from 1 species
UUAAAACUCGGUAAUUACCUUUUAUAGGAAUUUAAUUUUACACUAAGAAAAAAAAUAAAACUUAAUAAGUAGAAUUUUACAGUUUUAAAAAUAUUCUUUAUAAUUAUAAUUUAAAAUGAUAUUAAAAACUAGGAUUAGAUACCCUACUAUUAUCUUAAAAUUUAAAUAAAGUAGUAAAAGUUAAUUCUUCAAACUUAAAAAUUAUGGCGGUAUUUUAAACUAACCAGAGGAACUUGCUUAAUAAUCGAUAAUCCACGAGUUAUUAUACAUUUAAAAUUAAAUUUAUAUAUCGCUGUUAAAUAUAAAUUUUUAUGUUUUUUAUUAAUAUGACCAACUAUGUCAAUUACCCCAAGUCAACACAUAAUUUUUUAAUGCUUAAAGUGAGUUACAUUUACUUAAAGUAAUUUUAUAUAAAAAUUAAAAAUUUAAACUAAAAAGGAUUUGAAAUUAAAAUUUUAUUAUAUAUAAAUUUUGAAUAAGUAAUAAAAUAUGUACAAAUUGCCCGUCACUCUUAAAUAAAUUAAGAUAAGUCGUAACAUAGUAAACUUACUGGAAAGUAAAUUUAGAAGUAAACUUCAAAUAUAAUUACAAAGUUUCACUUUGUUAGCUAGUUUACAAUAUAUCUUAAAUAUUUUAAAUUAAUAAAUUUUUUAGUUCAUAAGUUGCUUAAAAAUACUAAAAUAAUUAAAUAAAAUUUAAUUUUUAACAAUUUAAUUAAUUUAACAUCAAAAAUUAAAACUAAUUACAUUUUAAGUAGACUUAAUUUGUUGUACCUUUUGUAUCAGGGUUGGUUAAAAAUAGAACUGUAAAUUUGCUUCUCGAAAAAAAGCUAUAUAAAAUUUUAAUAAAUUAUUGUAAAAUUAAU